GACGAACGCUGGCGGCGUGCUUAACACAUGCAAGUCGAACGGAAAGGCCCUGCUUUUGUUCGGUUCUCGUGUGGCGAACGGGUGAGUAACACGUGAGUAACCUGCCCUUGACUUUGUGGUAACUUCUGGAAACUGGGGCUAAUACCGGAUAGGAUCUCCUGCUGCAUGGUGUGGGUUGGAAAGUUUCGGCGUUUGUGGAUGUACUCGCGGCUUAUCAGCUGGGUGGUGAGGUAGGGGCUUACCAAGGCUUUGACGGGUAGCCGGCCUGGGAGGGUGACCGGCGACAUUGGGACUGAGGGAGGGCCCAGACUGGUACGGGAGGCAGUGGUGGGGAAUAUUGCGCAAUGAGCGGACGCGUGAGGCAGAAGCGCCGCGUUCGGAAUGACGGGCUUCUGGUGGUAAACCGCUUUCGACGGAGACGAAGCGUGAGUGACGGUAAUGGGUAAAGAAGCACCGGCUAACUACGUG
rnacentral:rRNA from 1 species